AUAGUACCUGUUUCUUCAACAGAACUCUGCCAAAAACACUUUGCAGUUCUAGACGUUUUCUGAGUGUCAUGACAGAUCUCACCAAAGAACGCCAGCAUCAGUAUGUUCCCCGUAUGCAAACCCAAGACACAAUUUCACUGGGUCCAUAAGUCCUCAAAAACUUCUGCUGAAGAUCAUCCAGUUCUGCAGGCAGAGGGAUAUUCAACUCCUGAUUCAGAGUCAAUGCCUCAAAACAGUCCUCCAACUUCUGAAAAGCAGGCCUGAAGGAGACCGGAAGUGGAAAGAGAUAAAAGACAUCCAUUAAGAAAAACAAGCCUACAAAAACACCUAUGUUUAUAGCAGACUGCCAAUUACCUGGAGGAACACACACACAAAAAACUUGAGCACAAUAUUCUCAGAAAGCAAUAAAGGUGAUUUUAUUUAUUUAUAUACAACUAAACAGUUAAAUUAGAUUAACAGAGAGGAAAAACACCAUUAUAGUCACUGUUUGACAUUUUUAAAUCUUUCAGAUGCAGCAUGUAAAUGUUUCUGUGAUUACCAGAUUACCAUUAAGAUUUAAAGAAACAAGCAU